AAAAAGGUACGGCGUAAGCUGUCGCUAUGGGAUGGCCCCGCCGGUGCAUUAGCUAGUUGGUAAGGUAAAGGCUUACCAAGGCGAUGAUGCAUAGCCGAGUUGAGAGACUGAUCGGCCACAUUGGGACUGAGACACGGCCCAAACUCCUACGGGAGGGCAGCAGUAGGGAAUCUUCCACAAUGGACGCAAGUCUGAUGGAGCAACGCCGCGUGAGUGAAGAAGGUUUUCGGAUCGUAAAGCUCUGUUGUUGGUGAAGAAGGAUAGAGGUAGUAACUGGCCUUUAUUUGACGGUAAUCAACCAGAAAGUCACGGCUAACUACGUGCCAGCAGCCGCGGUAAAU
rnacentral:rRNA from 1 species